rnacentral:rRNA from 1 species
AAUGAACGCUGGCGGCGUGCUUUACACAUGCAAGUCGAGCGAGGCGGGGUAGCAAUACCCCAGUCGAGCGGCGAACGGGUGAGUAACACGUGGAUAACCUACCCAGAGGUGGGGGAUAACCCGGGGAAACUCGGGCUAAUACCGCAUAACACCGAGAGGUCAAAGGCGGGUCGCAAGACCUGUCACCAUUGGAGGGGUCCGCGUCCGAUUAGCUAGUUGGUAGGGUAAUGGCCUACCAAGGCGACGAUCGGUAGCCGGCCUGAGAGGGUGAUCGGCCACACUGGAACUGAGACACGGUCCAGACUCCUACGGGAGGCAGCAGUGGGGAAUUUUGCGCAAUGGGCUAACGCCUGACGCAGCAACGCCGCGUGGAGGAUGAAGGUCUUUGGAUUGUAAACUCCUGUCAGCAGGGAAAAAGCGACUUAGCCUAAUACGCUAGGGAGUUGAUUGUACCUGCAGAGG